rnacentral:lncRNA from 1 species
CGGAUUAUAACCACAGCCAUGGGUUAACCCCACCUAGGGAGAGGAAGAGGGGGAGCUGCGGGGGGGGGAGGAGCAGGACCUCAAGAAGGUCGUCCCCAAAGCCCCCAGCAGGCGCCUCGGAACCCCUGUCUGGGAAGAAGGGAGUUAGCCAAGGAUCCUAGAAGGAGGCGGACCACAGCUGUGCGUUCCUAUGUUUAAUUUUAUUGGUUUCCUAAAACAUAAAAGU